rnacentral:rRNA from 1 species
AUUGAACGCUGGCGGCAUGCCUUACACAUGCAAGUCGAGGGGUAGUCUAGCAAUAGAUGAGACCGGCGCACGGGUGCGUAACGCGUAUGCAACCUACCUUUUACAGGGGGAUAGCCCAGAGAAGUUUGGAUUAAUACCCCAUGGUAUAUUGAAGUGGCAUCACUAUAAUAUUAAAGUUCCAACGGUAAAAGAUGGGCAUGCGUCCUAUUAGCUAGAUGGUAAGGUAACGGCUUACCAUGGCUACGAUAGGUAGGGGUCCUGAGAGGGAGAUCCCCCACACUGGUACUGAGACACGGACCAGACUCCUACGGGAGGCAACAGUGAGGAAUAUUGGACAAUGGGCGCAAGCCUGAUCCAGCCAUGCCGCGUGCAGGAAGACGGUCCUAUGGAUUGUAAACUGCUUUUGUACGGGAAGAAACACUCCCUCGUGAGGGAGCUUGACGGUACCGUAAGAAUAAGGAUCGGCUAACUCCGUGCCAGCCGCCGCGGUAACAC